rnacentral:rRNA from 1 species
CCUACGGGAUGCACCAGUGGGGAAUAUUGCACAAUGGGCGCAAGCCUGAUGCAGCCAUGCCGCGUGUAUGAAGAAGGCCUUCGGGUUGUAAAGUACUUUCAGCGGGGAGGAAGGUGUUGUGGUUAAUAACCACAGCAAUUGACGUUACCCGCAGAAGAAGCACCGGCUAACUCCGUGCCAGCAGCCGCGGUAAUACGGAGGGUGCAAGCGUUAAUCGGGAUUACUGGGCGUAAAGCGCACGCAGGCGGUCUGUCAAGUCGUAUGUGAAAUCCCCGGGCUCAACCUGGGAACUGCAUUCGAAACUGGCAGGCUAGAGUCAUGUAGAGGGGGGUAGAAUUCCAGGUGUAGCGGUGAAAUGCGUAGAGAUCUGGAGGAAUACUGGUGGUGAAGGCGGCCCCCUGGACAAAGACUGACGCUCAGGUGCGAAAGCGUGGGGAGCAAACAGGAUUAGAUACCCGAGUAGUC